UGUAAAAUUUUUCCAGGAUUUCACAAGAUAUAACUGUAAUAUUUCACAGUUAAUUACAUUAUUACCACUUCACAGGCUUUAACUGUGAUCAUUCACAAUAUAAUACCGUAUUUAGACUUUUACUGUGAAAAUAAUGCAGGCGCGGGGCUUUUACAAGAAACUACUGUGAAUGCCGUCUUUUUUGAGUGGCAACUGCGGAAGCGUCAUCAGAGCGUCAUCAGAGCUCUCUGAUCUACGUGGUCUCAUUCGGUGGAUUCAGACAGCGGUAAGUGUUUAAAUGUCAAACUUUAUCAAUUUGAUGUUUUUUAUAUGAAAGUGCAUGUAAUUUAAAAGUAUGAACCAAAUUAGCGUUAGUUGUAGGUUCUGUUGUCAUGUUUUUGUAACUUAGCUGGAGCAGACUCGCAUCAACGUUUAAGCGCGCAAAUUUGAAUGAAAAGACGUUGGUUGUAGUGUUAAUUAUACCGUAUUAAGUUAACUGUGAGUUGUCUGAUUAGAUACACCGUCGAACAUUUAACUUUAGCUUUACUUAAAGCUUAUCUUAGUUACUAACAGCGUUCUCUCUUUUACCACAGCAUUUUCUACAUUGACCGAAGAUAAAAAAAAAAGUUAUAAGGUGCUUCUUGGGCAUCAACCCAGAGACGGGCACAAAAUCUAAGAGGCAGAGAGGUCACAUGAACCAGCAAGUCUGCACUCUUAUCAAGAAGCUCAUUGACUUCGAAUGGAUGUCAAUCUAAUUGGAUAGAACCCACACUAUGCAGGUGCCAGCUGCGAGGGAAGGAGAGAGACACCUGCGACCCUCUCUAUUCCCACCUUUUUGUCUUUUCUUACAUCUCUCUCCCUCACUCUCUCUUCUCUGUCUCCUUCUUUCUCUUUUGACACACAUUCCUGUUACCCAGUGUCAAUCCCUGUUGCCCAGUGUUUUCUUCAUGUAAUUAAAUUGUAUUUUACUUCUAAAAAAUAAAAGUUAUGUCACUGUUUUUAUCAGUUUUGUUUGGUCCAUCAUUUAUGCUAAAUCACAGUAAUAGAUAGACAUUCACAGUUAUGUACAGUAAUUCUACAGCUGCUUACUGCUAAAUUACAGUAAUAGACUAAUUUCACAGUUAAAUACAUUAAUUCUACAUCUGCUUGCUGCUAAAUUACAGUAAUAUACACUAAUUUCACAGUUAAAUACAUGAAUUCUACAGCUGCUUACUGUUAAAUUACAGUAAUACAUAGACACCAACUGUAAUUUCACAGUUAAAUACAUUAAUUCUACAGCAGCUUACCGCUAAAUCACAGUAAUGCGAUGUCAGAAUUACUGUGAAGUCACAGUAUACAGCUGUCAUUUCACAAUAAUUUACUGUAAAAAUGUUACAGUAACUUACUGUGAAAGUCAUGCAAUUAUUAACCUGCAAUUUAUUGUAAAUUUACAGUCAAAUAAUUAACAGUGU